rnacentral:sRNA from 1 species
UCACUAAAACGGGGUAUGACGUUCGCAU